UGGGCAGCUACAAAGGAAAGACAUUGUAAGCUAUUGCAUCAUUCAAAAGAAACUCUUCAUUCUAAACAGUGACAGUAUUGUUGCUUCCUUUAAUAUCACGUACACCAGACAGAUCACACAGACAGCUACAUACUGGACACCUUUCUAAAAACCUUGCUGGUCGUUAGUGAAUCAUCUUCCUCAUACUUCAAAUACAAUGCAUUAACUUAAUUUCAUUUCACAUAUCAAACAGGACAUUUAAAUAUAUUGCAAUAUAUUAUAGAAAAUUGCAAAGCGCCAUCAUUUCUGUAAACGAGACUGACACCUGUUAACUCUUCUGUGCACAUGAAGAGCAGUACCUAGUGCCACAUUUUCUAUACAAUAUAAAGCCUUCCCAGGUAGGGCAACUCAUUUUAGUGCAUUUCUGUACAGACUGUAAGCAUACAUGCAGAUAGCCAACUAUGCAGGGUUGGAAAUACUUUUGUAAGCUGAAACUGGAAGAUGUGGGGGGAAUACUCUGAAAUCACAGCAGAGCUCUUGUGGUUGAUAAUUUUGUAGCAUAGAUGAGGACUUGACUCUUCUGUCAAUCUAGCAGAUUCUUUAGGGACAGUUUCAUGAUAGGUAUCUAGUAUUGAAUAAGUAUAAGGAAAUACUUUCAUCAACUGGGACACAAAUAUUAUGUGUCCUAACACAUUCUAGGUUAUGCACAGUCCAAUGUUCACACAGUAACCUUCUCUCUAAAAUACUUGAGAAAACCCAAAGCAUUUUUAUGCCACAGUAUUAUAACCAAGGAUCAGUUACUUUAUCCACCACUGUAGUGCUACCUGCUCUAAAAGAAAAAAAAAAAAGGCCUCAUUUCCCAACAAGCAUCAAGUUGGAAGCAGAGGUCAGUACCACUGCUAACCACAACACAAAGAUCAGUGCUGCAAUCCAGCCAGAAGAUCUCUCUCUACAAUGCUAGAUGUCUGCAGUGUCAACAGCUGCCUGCAAGUCAGGGUAAGUCAGUGGAGCUGGGGUGCAGUUCCUCUGAACCACUCCAGGCAGGAUGAGCAGGUUUGCAUUCCUUGCUGUGCUGACUACCUACAGUGUCUUGCCCCAGUGCAGACAUCAACACGCAUCAGGCAAAUCCCACCUUAAUUCAUGAAAAGUGCUACAGGAUGCUCACUUAUCCCUCUACAUUUUAAAAUGUUGUGUGAGUUGGUUUUGCAAUGACUGUUCACUGAAAAGGUGCAGAUGCUCUUCACCACAGAAAGAAAAAAAAUCCCCAAGAACUACAAUCAUUAAACUUGGAAAUACUGGCUAUAACCCACUUGUGCUUCAAAAUAUCCCUUUUUAGAAGUGGGGGAAAAAUGCAGAAAUUUGAGUUAUUGUGUGUUAGUAGCCAUUAAGGGGAUUUUUCACUUUCUGUUGGAAUUUUUAUUUCAAAAUAUUUUCCUACAGAAUUUUAAUACAUCAGCAAACCUCAAGUAACUUGACUUGGUAAGUUUGUGUCAUGCUUCUUGGUAAAUCUAGUUUUCCUAGGAUAUCACAAGCUGGAUAGCAAAAUCAGACAUAACCCAGCACUGUUCAGUGUAGAGAAUUGAAUCCUCUACUAGCCCUUUCCAUCUUUCAUUUACACCAUCAUUCCAGGUAUUAUAAACAAUUCUUAAAAGUUUUACUGUUCUCUGGUCAUUGAUACUAUCUCUCUAUUACUACUAAAUGCAAGCAAAAUUGUUUUCAAAGAAAAAAAUAAAUUAAAGAAAAUAGCUAUAUUUCAUUGCACUCUACUUUUGUGCCUUCAGGUUAGGGCAGGGAUAUUUAACACUACAGAAGCUUAAAGAUUAUCUUCUCUCCUUGGGAGAUAUGAAUACAGACAGGUAUUGGACUCAGGUGGAGGAUGCAAAUCGGUACUACCAUAUUUACAGAAGCAAAUACUGCCAUCCAGCCUGAAUACACAGUACUCCAUUAAGUGCAAAAGGGAAAACACUCCCCAGCUUAAACCACAGCCUGGUUACUCAGCAGCCAGAGAUCAGUCGUCAGUUACUGCUGUGCUCUCAUUUCAGAGGAAAACGGAGGAGGAGAAUGUCUGCAUCUUUGGGCUUUCUGGCCUACGGGGACCGUGUACAGCCAUGAAUCACUUUGUAUGGGAUCCAGAAAUCCUUUCUUUGCUCUGUAGAGGGGGAGUGGAUUUGCCUGCCUCAAGCGUUUCUUGGAGAGCAAAAGAAAAUCUGCUUUUGUUCAAGAUGAAAAAUUUCUAGAGACAUUAAUUUUCCCAGGCCCUAGUCCAGUACAAGACCUUCCUUCAACUUCCUGGAGUUCACGUCCCUCAACACCUCUCAGCUUCUCCAGAGACCCAAGCUGCAGUCCUACAGAUGGUCUCCUCGCUAGAGAGCCCAGCCCAUUCCCGAGUCAUCGCUGAUGCUGAGCAGGAACCCCCACGAUUUUGAGUGGAAUGCAUUUCUCUGACCUCAAGGCCAGAUCCUUGCCAAAUUUCAAGUUCCUGUGUCAAAUCCCUUAGGCACAGAGCUGGUCAGAAAAAGAAAGGUAAUACAGCUUUUACAUGGAGAUUGCCUCUCUUCCUCUCCUUGGUUCCCUCCUCACUCUGUUAAUUUUACUCUUGAACCAGCCAAUGUUUCCCCAAAACUCAAUGAAUAGAGAAUAAAAGCACCCUCAAGACAGAAACAAUGUGAGAAAUUCUCAUUUCAACUAUCAUAAAUAACUGAAAACAGGGACUUGGAGUGAACUGACCAGGUGACAUUAAUACACACAGCUACAUGCUCCACACAUGCACACAGACUUGCAUACACCAGAACACAGAUC